rnacentral:rRNA from 1 species
UACGAAGGGGGCUAGCGUUGUUCGGAAUUACUGGGCGUAAAGCGUAUGUAGGCGGAUCGUUAAGUCGGGGGGUGAAAUCCCGAGGCUCAACCUCGGAACUGCCUUCGAUACUGGCGAUCUUCGAGUCCGGGAGAGGUGAGUGGAACUCCGAGUGUAGAGGUGAAAUUCGUAGAUAUCGGGGAGGAACACCGGUGGCGAAGGCGGCGAUCUGGGUCGAUACUGACGCUGAGG